ACCACAUCUUCCUGCAAUUUCAGGUUUACUCAAUAACAUUUACAUUUUUUGGCUUUUCAUCUGAAGGGAGAUCUCUUGAAGUAUGGGAAAGUAAACAUUUCUCCAAGAAAGCUCUUCUGUUUGUGAGUACCUGCAGAAAAGUGUUCUCUUAGCACGCUGCUAAAUAUGACUGUGUCAUGCAGAAGCUGUGCUGUGCCUCCGAUGUGUAUUUCAUUCCUAGUCAAUAGGCAUUUGAGCUAGUUAAUAAAUUUUUAACAACACUGUAGACUAGACAGGGUCAUCAGCCAUUCAAAGAAACAACAGUUCGGUUGUCAGUAGAGUGUUAAUUUCUUUCACUUCCAACUGACCUUAACAUAGAUUUCAAGAUUAGUAUUGCAGUGUUUCGCCUCUCUUGUUAAAAAAUGAUAAACAUAGAUUUGCAACUUUCUGCCUUUGAGAUAUUUAGAUUCCCCGUCAAUAUUCUGCUGGCUUUUCCUCCAGCCUUGCUCUGCUUCGCUGUUCAAGGCUCCUAGAGAAGAAAUACCGUCUGUUUUCACUCUCUAAUGCAGCAAAGGUGCAAGGUUGAACAACUAGAGCCUAAUUAAAGCGCCAGAUUGAAAAAUCAAUACGCAUCAAUAUACACCAGGCAUUAUACUAAACAGUGGAAAAUAUUUUGUCAGAGCAGAACCGAGCAUGAGCCACUGUGAACUUCUGCUGUUCUUAUUUUCUUGUUCUGCUCUUUUUUGGAUUUGCUAGAGAUUGUGCUGUUUGACAACAUGCACACACCCACUACAGAGUUGUUUCCCUGUCAAGGAAACCCUAUAAUUAAACUUUUACACUUGCUCCUCUUUCAAAGUGCUGCUUUAAAAAUGCAAAGCUGCUCUCCUUUGCCUUCCAAGCACUUUACUCUGCUUUCCAACUGCCCACCUGAAAAGGCAAGAGUUGUUCUCACUGCUCUCACAGCUAUGGACCGCGAAAGCACUUCUGUCCAAAAAUGCUCUUAAACAUGUGGUUAAGCUGAAGUGGUACUGAGCCAAAGGGAUAUAAACAUCGCUGAAGUACUGACUUCACCGCCCUGCACUAGCACAAAACCUCACUGAACAGCCAGCAGUACUUCCUCCUGGUGCCACCAAUGCCGAUGCCUUCCUUAUGGCCACCCUUGAGGGACAGCACGGGACCACCCUGGCCACCAGCAGUCCCCAUUCGGCUGCGUUUGCUGGCCACGCUCUGCUUCUUGAUGCAUGUUAAAAACAGUUGGUGGCCAGAAGGACACCCGAGCCAAGUCUCCACGAAGGCACACAGAUGCAGCGAUGGGACCUCAUGAUGGAUUGUCGGUGUGUGCGUACGGACAUGAAACCGUGAACAGAGGAAUUUGCACAGGCCAGCAUUCAGGUUUCAUUCUGAAACCCCAGCAGAAUCAGACCCCUAACUCUGGCUGCUGUUAAACACUAAGGCAGCAUGUAGCUUUCCUCUUGCAUGGUUUCCCAUGUAGUACUGCUGACCUACCUCACUGCAGCUACAGCUGCUCAGGCCCUCGCAUGCCUUCAGGCUUUCCUUCCGAGAGUGAUUCUGGUGCCAGAGGGUUUUGGCAACAGUUGUAAUGUGCAUGAUUAUUUCCAUUGAGGAAACCAUUGGUGAUAACAGCAACAAGGAGGUAUGCGGGUGUAAGCCACAGUGUGCUGAAGGCAUGAGACCAUUAGGGUAUGUAAGGAUAGUCUCCUGAUGCUGUCAAAGAGGAAACAGCUCUGCACGUGAAAUAAUGUAGGGAAGGGAAUAUGCUAAACAUUGUUUAACCCCCAAGCUGCCCCCUGUGAAUAAAGUGUUUCCAAAAGCCUUCAGACUUGGCUUGAGCUAGGUGCUCAUUCAGCUAAUGAAAAACAUUACAUGCCCUCUGUCUAACCAGCCUGAUAUAUUCACUAAGCAUUACAGCAAAAGGAGAUGCUUUUUGGUCACUUUUGUUGCCACGUUCCCUGAUACCAAUGUUGAUGUUAUAAAGUCGAGCAGUAUUUUAAGUUGCUGUGAUCUUAAAUUUUGUUUCCUUAUGCAGCUGCCCAAGCCAGCUUACAUGCUGAUCAGGAUCUGCUGCAGCCUGGGAAUAAUCUGGCACCAGCUUCUUGGGCAGGCACGUAAAUCCUUACUGACAUCAAUGAACUGAAAAAUUCUGAGGCCUGGCAGUGACAAAGGGAAUAGUGAAUGAGAGCAGUAUUUCUUUAUAUUGAUCUACCUUUCCUCAUCUACUAAUAACACUGGCUGUUUACCCUCUGUAAUAAGCUGCGAUGGGUGCUACAUGGGUCUUUGCUUUCCAGUUCUCCAGUGCCAGUACACACAAACCAAGAAACCUCCCAGAAAAUGAGCUGGCUAGGACUAGAUAAAAUUAAGUGCAUUAAUAUUGUUAAUGUUUGCAAUUCAAACGCUUGUUAGACACAUUUAGACACUGAUUUUAUACCUAAGAAUUCCUCCAACCAAUACUUAGCAUCUUCAAUUCGGUCUACCAGAUGGGAAGAGCAGAUUCCCUGCAAGAGAAGGGAAAGGAUGGGUUCCCCAAAGCCCCACAGCCACGUGGGGAACCUGGGCAGAUGCUGAUGCCUUUGUCUUUGUCCCAAUCCGUUACUUUAUGGAGGAAAUUGGAGCUGAUUCUGUUCUUUGGAUUUCUGUUUUUAAUGGUACUUCUGAAGCUAUUUCUGCGCAUCAUCAAAGGCAGCAACAAAGGGAGAAAGAAAAAACGUGGGGCUGCGCAAAGCCUGCAAGUUUUUCCUUAAGGUACGGCGCUGUUGGAAGCGGGCACGCACCCAGCUGUGCUGCAGGAACAAAGGCUGGGCACCGCGCACCCACCUCGUGCCACCGCCAGGAGCCGGCCGGCGGAGCUGCAAGGACAGCAAGGACAGCAAGGACAGCAAGGACAGCCCGUCCCCAGCCCUUACCCAGCGCAGCAAACAGCCCGGCUCAGAGAGGAGAAUCAUUAAAAAUAAUUUGCAGGAGCUUUCUGUUCAGUGAGCCCUUUUUUUUUGAUACAAUAUUUCCUUCAGUGAUUAUCGCCGCGGACAUGUUCUGCCAUAUGGAUGGAGCCGGGCGAGGAGGCGGCUCAAUACCUGAGUGGUUAAUUAAGAGCUGUUGCUGGGCCACAAGAAGCAGGUUUGAAAUCCCUCUUCACUCACCGACAAUGAGUAGCUUUUUUAGCAGCAGCAGUCACUGGGGACAGCCAGAAGCGCAGGGUAAUUAUUUGAGAUAACAUAGAGCUGAAGAGUGCGUGUGCGCGCCCAUGUGUGCGAGGGGGAGCGCGCCGCCGAGAGGGCAACGCUACAGAAAGUUUACAAUAAAAAGGUCAACAUCUCCUACUUUUCUGUACAGUGUCGGCAGUCUGUGAUGCCUUUUUAGAGCGAAUGACAAUCUUUUUUUUUCCCUCUUAAAAAAACGAAUCUCUUAUUUGGUAUUCAAACGUUGCAAUUGUGAGCGUGGGGCAGCUGGGCCAACCUGAACGAGCCAUGCUCACGUUAUCGGCGCGGAUGCUGAAAUGACUUUGACUGCACUGUUGCAAAGAAGCAGUAAUUCCAACAUUAACUCAUGGAAACCCUGCGUGCUCUCAAGAACAAAGGAGAAAAGCGUUGAAACAAAAGCCGUGAAUGAAAUGAAGAACGUCCUUAACACAGACAUUUAGGGCUAAAUUCUCAGCGCACUGCCACAGGAACAGCAGAGACUGUUGGCUUUAACCAAGGGACUCACUUGAGUCAGAUGAGUGUCUGGGCUCUGGCCACCACACUGCUUGUGACUGGGGGCACCUAGGGGUACCACCGAGGCCCUUCACAACAUCAGUGGUUCUCCAGCAGAGAUGUUCAGGGAUGCUCUUGCAGCAAUGCAUCCCACUCACUAGUUUUCCCAAAUGACAACAAGCAGCAAGGCAGCUUACAAAGGUGUAUUUUCUACAGUGCUUCAUCUCUGAAGCACAGGACCAAGCUGCCAUUCCCACCCACCAUGCCCAGUAUUCAGAUAGAAAGCAAACUGUGAAGCAAUACACUGAGGACCAUUUCAUUUCUCAGAGCUGCAGAGAGUAUGAGCAUCCUUUCUUUAACCAUCAAAGCUCAUCUACAUCAGGAGCUCGGAAUGCUACUUCCCUGUUUGUUUGUUUCUAAGAAAGUCUUUCUACUCCUUUACUGAGCAGCCAAAUGAUGAAACCUCAGUCAUACGUUUUUGGCAUUUCCAGAAAAUCCCACAUGUGAUUUCCAACUUAGGAGGCUUAAAUCUCCAUCCAAACAGGCGCUGUGUGCAGCUCACACAAGCGCUUAGCUUUAUGCUGUAGGGUAAAAAUAAAUUCAGGAGAGAGAACCUUCAUCCUCCUUCUCUCUACCUCCAUUUUCACAUCCUCUCAGAUGCUGGGAACAGCUGACCCAGAACGACAGGAGAGUUUGAGCAGAGGCAAUGGGAGGACAUGCAGUUACUGGGCAUCAACCGAAGACCCAAACAUCCGUCAGAGGGGGACAUGGCGUACCUGUGCCCCUGCUCUUUCCCAAGGCAGAUCUUGCAACCUUUGAUGUUCCUCCAGUGCAAACAAUACCACUCCAGCAGCGGCACUUUUGCCAGUGUAACUGUCUCAGCUUUGUUUAGAGCCUGCCCAAUAUGUUAAUUAUCUUCUUUACCUCAGUGGCAUUAUACUGUCAAACCGUACAACAGUCUUUAGAAAAUAAAAGCUAACACCCUAAGCUGCUGUACCCGGAUCCCAUAAUAUCUAUUCACUGACAAUGCCUGAGCUGUCAGAUCAGAAGAAGCUUCAUUCGAAUAAAGGUGGGCAGAUGUGUGAUAAUGAGACAGAAGCAUACAGAUGCUAAUAUAACUGUUCAGCAGAGCAGGCUCGUCUUCGUUAGGCAGACCCAGGUAGCAGCUGCAGACUGUCAGACACUGGAAUGCUGCUUUCUCUUGAUUCUCAUUUAAGAUCAGCUUCGUUCGCUGUCUGUCAGUGAACUUUUCCCUCACAGGAGCCUGGACCCCUAGGUGAUCAGUCACAUUUCGACAUAACUAGAUGUCAAAAGAAGUUUAAGUUGUAUGACGAACUGUGAUGCAUUCCCUGUGCUAGCUGGCAGUCUCAGCCCUCCAAGGCGUCUUGUUAAUGAUCCACCUGGAAACUCUAGAGUAUUUCCCGUAUUUUGUUUUCUUAUUAAAAUACUGGCUAAGCCUUUGUCAAUAUCCAUGUCAGCAACUGUAAGCUCAAGACAAUAUUAUCACAAGCAUAAUUUGAUUUAAAAAUGGAGUGCUGGACCGACACUGACCAGGCAGCAGGAGACACACAGGGAGUGAGAAGGAUGCAAGCGUUCAGCUGCUGUGAUUUAGCAUCAUCAAUUAAAACAAAAUAUUGCUGAUUUUCUCCCGGGCAGAGGCAGGGGAAAUGUAACUGAAGUUGCCCUAUGCAAUACGUCUGCAGCCAGGCAGCCAGCUCUGCUGAUGAACACAACCAGGAAUAAGAUAAUGGGAAUCUCCGCAGACGAGCACACAAUUCAAAAGCUCAGAAACACAAAUAACCCGAGACUGCCACUGCACGUAGUGCUGGAACCUUUGAACCGGGAGUCUCAACUCCAGCAGCCUUUCAUCUGUUGCUCAGAGCUGUUUACCCACUCACACUCCUAUUUCAGAGAGCAGACAGGCAGAGGCUAUUUUACAUAACGUACACACGUGCACACACAGUGCAGUGAACUCUCUUACCACAGUUGUGCAGCAAGGCCAGAUAUCAGCUGGUGCUCAGUCGUGUCACACCAGUCUUCACAUUCCUUCUCGCUUUCUUGCUUCUCGGCAUUUGAAUUUCAACAUCACAAUUCUUUUCAUGCACCUGGGUACAAUUAACAGGUUUCCUACGUUCUUAAAUUUCUGAAUUAA